rnacentral:rRNA from 1 species
CAGCCGCGGUAAUUCCAGCUCCAAUAGCGUAUAUUAAAGUUGUUGCAGUUAAAAAGCUCGUAGUUGAAUUUCGGGGUUAGUAGGUUGGUCAUGCCUCUGGUAUGUACUGGUCUCACUGAUUCCUCCUUCCUUAUGAACCGUAAUGCCAUUAAUUUGGUGUUGCGGGGAAUUUGGACUGUUACUUUGAAAAAAUUAGAGUGUUUAAAGCAAGCUAACGCUUGAAUACAUUAGCAUGGAAUAAUGAAAUAGGACGUUCGAUCUUAUUUUGUUGGUUUCUAGGAUUGACGUAAUGAUUAAUAGGGAUAGUUGGGGGCAUUAGUAUUCAAUUGUCAGAGGUGAAAUUCUUGGAUUUAUUGAAGACUAACUACUGCGAAAGCAUUUGCCAAGGAUGUUUUCAUUAAUCAAGAACGAAAGUUAGGGGAUCGAAGACGAUCAGAUACCGUCGUAGUCUUAACCAUAAACUAUGCCGACUAGGAUCGGAUGAUGUUAAUUUUAUAAUGACUCAUUUGGCACCUUACGGGAAAC